rnacentral:sRNA from 1 species
GAUUUAAGGCUGCAAGGAAGGAGUCCUGGGAGCAUGGCUUUCCCUGAGCCAAAGCCGCGGCCUCCAGAGCUGCCGCAGAAACGGUUGAAGACGCUGGACUGCGGGCAGGGGGCAGUGCGAGCCGUACGAUUUAAUGGUGAGCGCCUUCGUCUUCAUUCCGGGUCCUCCUCCCGCCUCCUGAGAUCGACGGCCCAGUAACCCCCGCCUGGUGUUCCCCAGUGGAUGGCAAUUACUGCCUGACGUGCGGCAGUGACAAGACGCUGAAGCUGUGGAACCCGCUUCGGGGGACGCUGCUGCGGACGUACAGCGGCCACGGCUACGAGGUGCUGGAUGCGGCCGGCUCCUUUGACAACAGUAGUCUCUGCUCCGGCGGCGGGGACAAGGCGGUGGUUCUGUGGGAUGUGGCAUCAGGGCAGGUCGUGCGCAAAUUCCGGGGCCACGCAGGGUCCUCCAAAGUCCAGCCUCCUCUGAGUGGCAAUAACUUUCUCAGAAGGUGAACACGGUGCAGUUUAAUGAAGAGGCCACAGUUAUCCUGUCCGUAUCCGCUGUUGGGAUUGCCGCUCACGGAGGCCUGAGCCAGUGCAGACGCUGGAUG